AUGUUUAGUUUAGUUUGGCAUCAGAUCCUCUCCAAAGGACACAUCUUUCCAGAAAGAAAUCUAUCACAUUUAAUAGUUGCCAUUUAGAUAUUACUCAUCAGAAAUAAAUAGUGGAGGAAGAUUCCUUAUUCUUGAAAGUCAUAAUUAGCCAAUGCUAUGCAGGAGACAUUCUCUACGUAGAUCCCAGGGUUGAUUUUUACAAUGACUACUUAGCAAUCAAGGAUAGAAAAUGAGCAACACUUAUAGGCUCUUGUAUUAAUUAUUUUGUGGGGGAUAGAUGUAAACUUUGGGGUGGGGCAAAUCACUCAGAUUUUUCUUGGAGAGAUGGAAUGUAUACUUUUAUAAAAACUUACAAAAGCUUAUUAUGGUGGGUGGUUUACAAUGUAAGAUAAUAAAAUGAUAAAACUGAGUAAGAGGCUCACUGUCUCAGUAGAUCUUAUUUGUAUAUCUGGAUGAAAUUAAAAAAAAAAGGAAUAUGUAUUCUUGGAGGAUAUACAAUAGGCAACUUGGGGACCAGAAGAAAAAAAGAAUGAAAAUUACUUUAUUGCCAGGUGCCUGGCUGGCUCAGUUGGUUAAGUGUCUGACUUAGGCUCAGGUCAUGAUCUUGUGGUUCAUGAGUUUGAACCCUGCGUUAGGCUCUGUGCUUACAGCUCAGAGACUGGAGCCUGCCUCAGAUUCUGUGUCUCCCUCUUUCUCUGCCCCUCCUCUGCUCUCUCUCUCUGUCAAAAAUAAAUAAACAUUUAAAAAAAGAAAAUUACUUUAUUGUUGUCUUUUACUGUUUGAGAAAUCCAUAUCACAGAGGAUAAUGACCCACUGCUUUUUUUAAUGUUUAUUUAUUUAUUUUGAGAGAGAGAGAUAGAGAGUGAGUGGGGGAGGGGCAGAGAGAGGGAGACAGAUAAUUCCAAGCAGGCUCCAUGCUGCCAGUGCAGAAUCCUACGUGGGGCUCAAACUCACAGACUGUGAGAUCAUGACCUGAGCCAAGACCAAGAGUUGGUUGCUUAACCAACUCAGCCACCCAGGCACCCCUGACCCACUGCUUUUUAAUCUCACUAAUAAAUUAGUAGAAAGGAAUAGAUAAAAGUGAAGAGGAAUGAUUUUAGUUGAACUUCAAUAAAAUAUCCUUAUUGUUUAUUUUUUAUAUCAUAGGUUUCUUAAAGUAGGGUAUUUCUUAUCUGACCGAUAUGAUUUAGGUGUCGUCUUGUCACAAGGUAAAGUCUAUAAAGGUGGAGGAAGUGUAUGUAUGUUUAAGGCAAAGGAUGAAUAUUUAUUGAGCUCAUACUACUGAGUGCAUACUAUGAAUUUUUUAUAUAAACUAAUCUCAUUUAAUCAAGAGUGUGAUAAGUAGGUUAUUUCUACAUUUAUUUUAUAAAUGAGAAAACUGAAAACAAAAGAAGCUAAGUAACUUGAUCAAUGUUAUGUAGCCAUGAUAUGUCAGAGUCAGGAUUUAAAUCCAGGUGUAUCUGACUCUAAAUUCCAUAUUCUAAAUUCUUCAUAUUGUACUAUGAUACCCAAUAAAUAAUUGUUGACAGGCUCAUCUCUAUUCAAGGUAAGAGAGUGGAUCCAUUGUUUUCUCGUAGCCUUUUCCACAAGUAUAUUAUCAGAAACACUUGGCUAUAAUGAGAAUAAUUUCUCGUAUUAUCAUGGUAGUAGACAUCUUUGUGUUUCCUGACUAGUAUCUUUUCCCCUUUUUUGGGCAAUAGCAUUGUUUUCCAUAUGUUUCUAAAAUUUUUUUAAAUUUAUUUUUAAUUUUUAAAAAAAGUUUUUAACGUUUAUUUAUUUUUGAGAAACAGAGCGAAACAGAGAAUGAGUGGGGGAGGAACAGAGAGAGAGGGAGACAUAGAAUCCAAAGCAGGUUCCAGGCACUGAGCUUUCAGCAUAAAGCCCAUCAUGGGGCUUGAACUCACAAACCGUGAGAUCAUGACCCAAGCUGAAAUCUGAUGCUUAACCAACUGAGCCACCACAUUUUUUCGGUUGAAGGUGUGAAUUCCUUUCACUUCAGUUUACCUCCAGUUAUAAGGCUGGGCACAGAAUCUAGGCCUGAUCAUUCAGAAUAGCCUAUUCUUACAACCACAGCUCUUGAUUUUUCAUGUUUCCCAAGCUGAUUUUACCUUCUGCUAGAGUCAUUAGGGAAGAUGAUCCCUAUCUCCUGGAGUUGUUAAGCAGGUAGGAAGCAAGACUGGGACUGCUAGUAGGAACUGUUCCCAUUAAUUGGAGAGAAAAAGAGAUUGAGAUAUAAGCAAUAAGAAGAGAGUCAAGCCCUAAUGAUAUUCUUCCAGACCCUACAUCUAUCCACACCUGAACCUAAUUAUUUUUAUUCUUUAAAAGCAUUUGAAUCUAUAAUGUUUUUCUUUUAUCUUAGGUUUAGUUGAACCAAAUUAUUUUUAAAAUGCACAAAAAAUAUGUCAUUGUUAUCUUAUUUUGUAUCCGUGGCUUGAUAAAUCACAUAUCUGUAGUCAAUGAAGCAGCACUAAUUACAAUUGAUAAUAGUGGCCACAAAGUCUGAUCCACACUUUGUGAAGACUUUGGCACCUGCACUAGGUCCUGGAUUGUUUCUGGUUGGCCAGCAAAUACCUUUAAUGCCUUAGACUCUGUAAUGCCUGGCAGAAUGUCUGAAUUUGCCUUGAUUGAGCCAUCUCUCCUCCCUGUGGAGGUUGCUGUAAACUCAAGGUAAAAUGCCAAAUGAAAAUUGAGGUACUGCUUUAUUGUCAAUUGCACUUGUGUUCAUAACUCCCAAUAGCUUUCCAAUCAACUUGGUUGGAGCAUAGGGCUUAGUCUCAAACAUAAGCAAACUCUUUCCACCCUCUGAUUCAAAUCUUAUUUCCACCCAGUUGUAAGAUCACCGUGCCCAGUAACAGAUAGUAAGAAAUACAAGAGAGGAUGACCAGCAGGUCAGACUUUAAUCAAGAGUCUAAAUGUGGGUUGGGUUCCUGCACAGAUAGGAAACAGUGGAGAAAGCCACACCCAAAUGAAAAAUUUCAAAUUCAGUGCUUCCUUCAACUAGAAAACAUGGCUCAAUUAAUGCCUUGGAUUCUGUCCAGGGAAUUAGAUUGAGAAAAAGAAGUAAAUAAUCCACAGAUUUGGGUACUUUAGCAUCAUCAUCAUCAUCGUCAUCAUCAUCACCAUCAUAAUGCAUGUUAUCAAUAUACCUCAUGAGUGAUUUCUGACACAAAGAUAAAGCAAACAGUGCUUGAGAACUGGUCUACAUUCUAGGAAUCACUGCACUAUUCUCAGAAAUCUUUAUGUAUGUUACUUCUUUGUCUUUAUUGAAUAUGUUUAUAUUUUCACCUAUAUGUGGGCCAUGCUCUUCUAAGAUAUACCAUAGUGGAAAAAAAAAUCUCUAUAUUGUGGUAUAGAGAUCUACUGAAGAAAAGUGCUAUAUGUGUGUGUUUUGCAACAGGUCAACCUAUAGGAUGUGUCUCUUACCAGAAUCAUUGAACCAGACCCAAGGUCCCCAGAGGACUACUUGAGAUCAUCUCUCUAACCCAGUAAAUCUCAAGCUUAGGUGUACAACAGAAUGCCUGGAGAACUUACUAAAAACACUGGUUCCUGGGCUCUACCCAAGACCUACUGAAUCAAUCUCUUCUGGUGGGGUGAGGGUGGGUAGGGCAUAAGUAUACUUAUUUAUAACACCUUUCUCAGGUGAUUCUUAUGUUAGUUCACAAAAUAGCCCUUGGAGAUCCAUUUAUCUUUUACCUUCAAGUUAAAAAACAUCACUCUGAAAUCUUAUGAGCCAGAUACAACUUUAACAUGUAUUUAAAGAUGUUUGCAAAAAUAUAUGCAACCUCUCUCAGCAAAUUUUUUUGUUCAAUAAACUUCAUAUUCAAAAUAUUCUGUUUCAUCUCACAUAAAUCCCUGGCAUUGCAAACUAAGUCUGUUUCCCACUGUCUGCUUAUUGUUAUUGUUGACAUUGUUGUUUUGUGCUGUUACUGAGCCCCAUGUAGGUUAUGGGCCAUAUACAUGAAGUCAUGUCACAGGUAUGCUUUUUUAGCUUCUUAAUUCCCUAUUAAGGGAAUUAAGGGAAUUCUUUAAUUCCCCCUUCUUAAUUCUAUUUUUAACUUGACUUUUAAUUCUAAGGUGUCUAUACUCGUGAUGUUUUAUUGAUUCUAUUUUUUCUCAGUAAGAUCCAUUACUCAAACCUCAUCUGAACCCAGGUAAAGUGAUUGAAAAUGACAUUAAAAUUAACCAGAUCUUAUCAAUUGGUAGGGUGUAAGGGGAGAAAAGGAUCAUGAAAGGGGACAGAAUGAGAGUCUGGGAGACUGAAUGUGAAUUUUAGAGGAAAUGAUGACUCCAAUAAAUGUCUUUUUUCCCCCCUCUUUUGCAUUCUCCUGGAAGCUAAUCCGAUUGGCAUAAUCCUCUUAACUGCCUGUGUUCUAUCAGUAUUUUAUCUGAUCUACUUCUCUGACAAUCCUUUCUAUGGUUUGCUAGCUUCCACCUAUUUCUGAGAACGUUUAGCUAUUACAGGGGAAAAUCAACUCUGUUUCUCCAUUUUUAUACAAUUUUGGGGUUCUUGGGAUGCUUAGAAAAUGGAGAGACCUUUGCAAAGGCUGGAUUUGUGUGAAAAGUCUGGGGACAAUGUUUCCAGCUUUUAAAAUUUGGUAGGGAGAUAUAUAAACAGGCCUUCUCCCUCAUCUCCAAGCUGGCUCCUGAUAUGCGUACCAUUAGUAUGGGUCAGAGGAUUGUUGGUCUGAGUCAGAAGAUGCAAGAUAAAAGGAACCAUGAACAUAAAAACUGGCCCACAUGCCUAGGUACUAAGAACAUUGACCAGUGGAUAGGCUUGACUAUUUCUUUUGUUUAUGCCAUCAAGGAAAUUAGAGCAUGAUGAGGGACAUCUUUCACUUCCUAUAGAUAAGGACAGGGAUUCUCUUCCUAUAGACCCAACCCUAUCUGUGUUCUGCUUUCUGUGGAGUAUGAUCUCAGGGAUAAAAAGGCAUGACCACUUGCCCCAGUACUUCAAUACCUCUGCUUUACGUUAUACCAUAAUUACUUCAUCUAGUUGGGAAUUCAAAUCUCUCUAAAUUAAAAUACUCCUGAGAAGGGUCUAACCUUAAUCCCUUUAUCAGCUUACUCUGUAAUUAUCAAUUAAUACUUUAGGAAAGAUUAGCUGGCAACCAAUGGGAAUCAAGAUAGUGGUGACAUAGUGAGUUCUCCUGGUUUUGCUACUCAUUAGCAAGGUGACCUUGAUUUUUAAGUUUCUUUAGGUCCUGGGUUUUUCAUUUUUUAAGUAAAGGGGCUAGGUACUAGGAUCUUGGACUUUCUUCCUAUUCUGGUUCCAUGAGAGAGUUCCAAAUGCGUUCCUAGAUUUCUAACUGGCUGGGAAUAAGAGACUUCCUUCAUGGCUUUCUUUAUUGUGUUCCUAGAACUUAGGCCAUAUAAUCAUGGGUCUAGUGAAAUGAAAAGAGUGUGGCCAGAGAGUGAAAACCACGGGAAGCCUAGAUUGCCACAGAAUUGCUUAGUUGCAAACCCUGAACAGCUGCAUCCCAGAGAUGAGUUUGCAAAGGAGGAGUUUAUAUGGGAUGUCACAGCUCAACAGCAGAAAAAUAGGCUGAUACAAUCAGAAAGCAUGCCAGGCCAUUGUGGACAUCUGCCGUGCAGAAUGACAUCAAGUGGCUGUCUGAACACGAUCUGCAAUCCCUCUCUUGACUUUGAAGAGACCCCUGGGCCCCAAACUUCAAAUCUGCACAGAUAGCAUAUAGCCAGCAGGCCUGGCUUUCUCAUGUCAACAUGAUGCAAAUGUUUCUGUGGAUAGAGAGCUUGGAGUCACGAGAACUGCAUUCCAGUGUGAUAUCUUCACACACACGCAUGCGCGCGCGCGCACACACACACACACACACACACACACACACAAUACUAUUAUUACUUUGAGAUUUCCUAUAUCCAAAGCAGUGGACUAAGUGUUUUACAUACUUUAUCACAUUCAGGUUAUGACCUUGGGUUCUUAACUUCUGUGGGCCUUCCUGUCAUUAUUAAUAAAAAUGGAACAUUUCAGCCAUAUCCAGUAAUAGUAACUAGAAUUUACCAAAUGCUUACUAUGCACUAGACACUGGAGGAAGCCCUUUUUGUGCAUUAUUAUAUUAUUUACUUAUUAAUCCUAAGAAGUAGGUAGGAACUAUGAUUAUUUCCAUUUUACAGGUGGUGAAGUUGAAUUGGAGUAGGUGGGAUUAAGCAGCACCGAAUGGAAUUUGUAGAAGGAAGGGGUUUCGUGUUUCUUUUCUUCCUGAAUAUUGCUGCUAUAACCCAGAAUUACCCUAAAGGGGAUUUCUGUCUUUAGUUCUGAUUCCACGAAGCCAUUUCAUCUCAGUGAAGGCCAAAAGGAAGACUCUUUGUUCUCAGCUGCAUGGAUGGAGGUAGUGAGGUGGACAUGAGAAACAGAAUCCAAGAGAUGUUCUGGAGCUGGAAUGAAACUGCUUGUUAAGAGUGCAUGUGAAUUCCAGAGUUCUGUCAUGAGGAAGUCUUGUUGACUAACUUCCUAAAGUCACCAAAAAUAAUAUCAAUAAACUAAAUCCAUCCCUUUGUUUCUCCAUACACCUUCUUUUCUGCAUUGUCCUCCAGGGUUCUGUCUUAUUGAGCUUUCUAAGCUUCAGUGUUCAUGAUCUGAAAAAUACAAUUAAUAAUACCCUUUAUUGGCUGGUAUGCAUGUGGAGGGGAGGUAAAUAGGAGAAUUAAAUAAGAUAGCAGACAUUAAAGUAUUUUGUCAAUGAUGAACCAACAUAUAUGUGGGGCCUAAUAGUGACCAUGUUGACUGAUUUAGUAUUUGUUACUGCUACAGGACUACAUCUCUCUUAUUUGAAAGAAAUGCCUUCUGAUAUUUAUUUUCUUUUCUAAAAAGAUUGUGUUUUGCUAAUUUUCCUCCUUCCCUGUGAAAUAAAAUUAUAUCAAGGAGAAUUGAAAAUUAAAAAAAAAAAGCUGUGCAGUAAUUGGUAGGGAAAGGAUAAUGAGAAGAAAAGCAGACAACUGUCUGCUGUUUAGCAUAUCUGUGAGUGUGUUAAUUUAAUUAGAACUGCCCUGUAUAAAUAUUAAACUCAAUUCACUUUCUUUUAUAGCUCCUUUGCUUUUCAAAGUAUUCCCAGUUACAGAUUAUCUUUUUAAAAUUCUUCUGUGAGUUUGAGGGAGUUAAUGGCAGAAAGACAACCCAAAUUUAAAUGAACUGAGAGAGCUUUUCAUCUUAUCACACUUUGUCUCCCUCUGUUAUUUUGCUUUGCCUGGCUGCUGGCCCAGAGGCAAAAGAGUGCUUGAUUUUCUUGCCUUCCUAGGUAGAGGUGACGUAACAACUUCCCUUCAGUAGAAUAUAUAUUUUGUGUUGUUUUUCUAGAAGAAGAAUUAGAUUGUUUUAUGUCUCCAUGCUCCCAAUCAUUUGUGAAAAAUCACCCAACUUUUCCAGGUCACUGGCCAGGAUGUGGGAUAUAGUUUAGAUGGUUGUUUCAUUUGAUUCUCCUGACAACUAUUAGGUGAGAAUAACAUUAUCCCCAUUUUACAGAUGAAAGUAGAGUCAGUAAGUAAGAGAGCCAAUCAUGUUUGAACUCAAGCAUAUUUUUAGUGUUACAAAUGGUGUGCUUAAUUCCUAGAUUGCACUUUGGAUAGACGUGGGAUAAUGGUAGUCAAACAAUUGCCCAUGGAAUUAGUUUGAAGUGAAUUCAAGAGAAUCAUAGAAUCCCAUAGGCAGAAGGGACCUGACCUCUCUUAUAGAAGCUAUCUUUUAGGAUGAAGGCAAGGGAAGGAUAGUCCUGCAAAUAUACAGUCAAAUCCUAUCUUUAUUUCAAAUUUUGGCAUUUUGUUCAUCGUGGACUUUUGCAUUCAUUAAAAAAAUGUCGCAUUAAAAUAUUAUUUAUUGACUACUGAGUAGUUUUUUGGGGUGCUCCUUUAAAUUUUGUGCUCCAGAUGAUUAAGAUACUUGUCUCAGGAUAUCCUUGUCUAGGAUACCCUAGUCCUGGAACUGUAGAGCAGACACAAUGCUAGGUAGUCUACGAGUCCUAUUCCUUUAUUUUUCACAUGAAGAAACUGAGGCUUUAAAUCACAAAACUGGUAUUAAUAACCCAUGUCUCUUGACUCACAAUUCAGUGCUCUUUGUGCUACAGAAAGUGGAGAUAAUAGUGUGACAGAUGAGCAUCAGGAGAGUGUGAUCUCAUAAUAAAGCCUGACUAAAUAUACCAGGGCAAAAAUGUAGAGUCCAUGAACUGCACAUGUCUGUUUAGCACACAAUCUUCUUCUCAUCCAACAAGUAGAAAUAGUUGCAAAUUGUAACAGGUAAACUUAGGUUAGACUGAAAGAACUACUUGACAGUGUGGAAGGUGAGGUGUACUGGCUUCUAGAAAAUGGCACAAAAUAAGAGUGGUAAAUGCAAACAUCUUAGGUUGGGUGUAAAAAAGUGGUGGGGUUGGUGGCAAACUGGGGAGAGAGACCAUAAGUAGAAACAAGUUCUGUAAUUUUUUGAUCACUGGAGAAGCAAGGUCUUUUUUCUUUCUUUCUGGGUCUUAGACACCUGUUCAAUUUCAAGUUAAAAUUAUUUCCUUGAAGCAACUUGAACUUAACUUGGCAGCAUCUUCUCCUUCCCCAUAGAAAUUCCUUGUUAUUGCUUCUUCUUUACCUUUGCAGUUCUAAUCAGCAAGACUGCUUCCCCAGUUCUCUCUCCUUCAGUUAUCUGCUCCUAUAGCACUGGGUCCUAUAUUACAGCAUUUUCGAACACAUUGAGUUGGCUUUCUGCUAUCCUAAAACACAUGAGCUCUUUCACAAUUACUGUGCAAUGGCCCCAUUAUGGCAUUUUCAGCUUCCCAUGCUGGGCCAUCCCAUCCCCCAUUAACAAAUCACCUUGCAACCACAUCUCCUUUUCUUGGAUGACUUUUAUAUAGGACAACACACAUUCAGACUGGGUAAGAGAAUUACACAGGCAGGGGCUUUCCUUUACUCUUCAGUGAAUACUCAGCAUCUAUUGUAGUUCUUAGCUGCAAACGUAGGAGGCCUACAAUACUGUUGGAUGAAUAAAUAAUUACACAAGUGCAAUUUAAUUCACUCCAAAUUGGGUAUCUCCUAAAAAUCACAUAAGAAUUUUGAAAAUGCCAAAAUGCAACACAUUUCAUAGCAAAACCACAGCGUGGGUAAUUCGGUAGAUGCAAGAAAGAAAAAAAAGCUGUGACGUUUUACAUGUGGCCUGAUAAACAACUAGAGCUGUGGAUCCUGUCUUUUUAAACAGGCCCAACACUUGCUGGCCCUGUCCUGUGCGCAUGUGGACGUUUUCAGCACCAUGGAUAGAGGUGCCACAUUUCCUUUUAUCUGUAACUACCUGAACAGCAGGAUGAAGAAAUACUCAGGGUUUGGGACAGGGCUCUCAGCCACUGUGGUGGAAAUUACCCCCUUUUAGCAGAACAUUCACUUAGAGCCUUUUUAUUUCCCUUUUCCCUUGGACGAACUGCGUUUUCAGCUGUCAAGGCACUUAGGCUUUUACAGGUUGGUUUUCAGAUGCCUAGAGGAUGGAGGGGGGCUGCCAUGGAAAUUGGAAUCUUCUGAGUUUUGACACUCCAGGGGAACCUCCAGUAGUGGGUGUCCCUGCUGAUGGCUGGGAUGUCUCUUAUGCUAGGCAUGACCAUCAUGCAAGUAACCAAGUGUAGGUAGGAGGUAGGCCCAGUUGUUCAUGGAGCACUCAAGGCCAUCUUUUGCCAGAGCAAAAGUUAGGAAAAUUAGUAAACUCAGUUGAGAUGUAACUGGUGGAAUAUAAUAUACACAUCCAUGAGGGUAAAUUCUUCCCAAACUUACAGGCUUUACUGUAUUUGGUUGUAAAACCCAAAAGUCAGAUUGACUCUCAGUCCCUGUUGAAUCCUUUUUAGGGAUAAGGUGAUAAGGCUUCCACUCUGGCCUUUCCUAAGGAUUCUGUCUUCUCAUUAGCUAUAUUCAAAUGUAGAUUUUUACUGAGGCACACUAAAAUGACUUUUGGUAGGGGGAGGGUUCUCAUUAGGUAUCCUCUGAGUGUGCUUACUUUGUUUUCUACAUUUGAUGCCUUUCCUUUAUUUUCUUGAAACAUCUUUAAUUUUUGCAAUCUGUGUCUUCCUUUUUGCCUCAUUUCUAGACAUCAUAAACAACCUGAGCUUGUCCUUUUCUUAUGGUGAUAGAUGUCCUGAGCUCCUUUGGUGAGGAAUCUCAGGACAGGAACUGUUAGAGAUUGGCCAAAUGCCAGAGCUGUCUGCCCUUUGGCCUGCACCUAGGAACAAUUCCACAUGGCUAUUUCUGUCUGUGUCCCAGAUUCAAAAAAAUGGGAGAUGUUUUCUUCCUACACCUUAUGUCAAUCUCCAUCUCAGCAUCCAAUUGCUAUAAUCGUAGAACCAGAGAUCUCCCAGUCUGGGUAUUUGCACAUCACGAUGAGAAUCACUAAAACUAAGAUUGCCUGAUGAAAGAGUAGGAGUAGAAAUUUUACCUGAACUACAAAUUACCUUAUAAUGUUGGCUUGAGAGAGAAUUUAGGGUUUACCAAGGGGCAUAUAUGUUUUGUUUGUUUGUUUUUACGAAAGAGCUCAUGAUAUAGUUCAUGUUAUCCACCUGUAUCUGUUAUCUACCUGCACAGAUCCAAACUGAAUCAGAGUGACUUUACCUUUUAGGCUUAUGCUGGUACCUACUGUUGGCCUUUAGUGUCUGAUAGGAUAUUUGGAACCCUCCAUGAGUUGUGGGGAGAGGACUCCAUUAGGUGGUAGAUUAAGGCCAGACUUCUCUAACGUGCUUACUUUCUUUUUAUCCUUAGGAAUACUGUGGACAAUUUGAGACUGUAUUUUAUGCUUCUUUUUAAGAAGGCAAAUCUUUUGGGGGGAAAGUCCUAUGAAUGAAUUUAGAAAUGGCCUUUCUUAUACUAGGUUGGCAUGCUAAAAUGAAGGGCUCUCUCUCUCCUCCUCAGGGGUGGCCUAAAUAAAUCCCAUUCUAUAUUGUCAACCUCCACUCAUCUUAGAAUAGUAUUUAUCCUCUCCUGCUCCUAGUUAAUAUGAUAGCAAACAUUGGUCAUGCGUGGGCCCAGAGUAGCCAUAUCAAGAGGCAUGGAGAUAGUAUGAGAAUAGGAAGAACUCAAUAUAUGCUUUUGUAUUUUGUAUUAAUAAUCAUUCUCAAACAGGCUUUUACACACACCACAGUCACUUUAAAUCUUCAUUAUAACCCUGUGGAAUUGUAAGGAUCAUCUUCAACCUCAUCAGGGCCCUCAGCAUUUUCAUUCAACAUUCUACGUUGUGGUGGUCCCUCCUUCCAUGUCCUUCAAUGAUGGUUCCAAAAUAUCACCACUCUCCUAUUUCCCUUGUUCAACCCUCAAUUUCAUUGGAAAAUCUUACUUCUAAAUCUGGAGAAAGUUGAUACUAUGUUGUGGUGUGUCUUUUAAUUCUCCAGCUUCCUUUUAUGUAUAAACUCUUUUUCUAAUUUGUUCUUAUGUCCUUUUCUUUAGGCUUAGAUGUUCCUUCUCUGGGUCAAGACCAGUUGCUUCUAUCUUUCAGGACCUUUCUCUCUAAGUUACCCUGCACCCACUGCAUGAUCUGCAGCCUCUCCCUCUCUACUUGGCUUCAUUCUGUCAGCUUAGAAUAGCCUUUCCCAUCUUCCCACCUACCAAAUUUCCCCUGUGACCUCACAUCUCUUUAGCUCCUAACUUGCUUCUUUUUGCUUUCUUCUUAUUUCUUUUUUGCUCCUCCUCCUUCUUUUAAAAUCCAAACCACCAUUCAUUAUCCAACUCAUUAAAAUCUGAAUUUUCUUUUUUUCAGAUCCAGUGAAUUUUCCUUAGGCCAAUGAUUUAUCUUCUCACCAAACUAGAUAUUCCUCCAAUAUUUGCCAUUUUUUAAUGUGGCACCACUAUUAUCCAGCUAGCUACUCGAAAAACUUCACCUUGCCCCUUUUCACAUCUUCUGUAAACAACCAACCUCCAUUUAUUAUUUCUUCCUUAAGAGCUCUCAAUUCCGUCUUUUCCCCUCUAUUCCUACUACCACCACCUCUGUUCACAUCUAUAUACAUAUAGUCUCUUACUCUCCCACUGCAUCAACCUCCUAUUAUCUGUGCCUCUAAUCCUUGCCUGUUGAAGUCCAUCCUCCAUAUAACUAGUAUACAUCACCACACAUUAACCAGGUGAAAUGAAGAGCUGCCCUGAUUAAAACCCUCGUCACCUCUCUAUUGCCUAUAGGAUUAUGUCCAGUUGUCUUCACAAGAUCCUCUACAGUAUGGCUACCAACUUUCCAGCCUUUUGUUCCCACCAACCCUUACCUUACUUUUUAUCUUCCAGCAAUACCCAGUUGUUGGUAGUUCCUUGGAUUUGAUAUAUUGUUUCUCAGAUCCAUGGUUUGCUUGAGGUUUCCCCUCUGCCAGCAUUGGCCUUUCCCUACUUGCAUAGUUAAUUCAUAGAGAUCCUUUAAGAAUCAGCUCAGGUAUCACUUCUCCAGAAAGCCCUCCCUAAUGUUUCUCCCAUGCUUUCCAUCUCUUACCAUACAGCAUUAGUUACCCUCCUUUCUGUUGGAUAAAAUACUGUGCAUAUGGCUACUAUUGCACUCAUGGUAUUGAAUUAUGAUUAUCUCUUCCUGUAUUUACUCUCCUCAAUAUGUCUCCAUAUUCCCUCAGUGCAUCAUUUGCAUCUCUAGCACUGAGCAGAGUUCUUGACACACAGGAGGUGCUAAAUAGAUGUAAGUUUAAUACAUUUAUGCCAAAUUUAGAGCAGGUUGAAGAAACUGAGUCUUUUCCUGUGAAGUAAGGGGAAAUUUGAGGGGCAGUGGGUUGAAAAAAUUUUAUCGUUUUUGUGGCUUAUUUGUCCAUUUAAUGGAAAUUCUGAUUUAAACCAAAUGACUUCAAGAGUCUUUAGUGAAUUUUUCACCACUGGGAAAUAAUGAGGAAACAGGGAGUUGUCCUCUCCUCUUUUGAAUAUCACGGAAUCCCAUUAUGAAAACUUUAUACCUACGAUGGUAUUUUCUACCAAGACUAAGAUGAAUAAGAAGAAAUGUUCACUAACAAUAAUGACUAUAGACAAAUGCUGUCAGCGGGAGGAAAAUGGCAAUCACAGAUGUCGGUGGACUUACGAAGGCCAUGCCGAAUUUUAUACAAAGGUAAACUUUAUAAAAUAAGAUUUUAGUGAAUGUUGUAAUCGUAUUCUGAAAGUAGAGUACGUGUGAAAUGUGCUUGUGAUUGCCCAAUGCAUAAAGAAUACAUGAUAAAGCAACGAGGAAUGGAGAUGCCGCAGAGCAGCUAGCCAGAUGCAGUCAUUCUUAUUUCUUUAACCUUUGUUUCUGGAUCCUGUUUUGUUUGAGUCAUUGUCAAGGCAUCCCACAGAGCCAUUUCCCAUUUUCUUUCUCUUUAGUAUGUAAAGUUCUAAACCAGAUUCUGAUGUAGAAUUCCCAGAAGGUCACUAUGCUACAUUCCUGUUCAGCAUUCCUGGGGUUACAUUUCCCUUUACAAAAGGUAGCAUUUCUGUAUUCCACUAGGACCCCUAGAUUCUCCUCUUCUGUUUUCUUUGAUAUUCACUAAAACACAGGUGCUCUACAACCUGUAUUUGUGCAGGUUUUGUAGUAGGCAAUUAUGUGAGCUUUUAGUGAUAAUGCUUAUUUGUACAUUAAUCAUGGUUUCACUUUAAAAAUUAGUUUUUCUUCCCCUUCCCCAUUUGUAUAUGUACACAAAUGAAUACAAACAAGGAAAGACCUGAUUGUUCCUUUGUUAUAAGUAAAGACCAUCUAAUCAUAAUGAAGCACAUUUAAUAAUUGUGUAUAAUGAGCAAAUUAGAGCAAUAAUGCGAGGAAAUGAGAGCCAAUUUCUUGAAAUGUUUGUCUUAUCUUUUAAUUGAAAAAAAGAAUUCUCUUUUUCCCCUCAAGUAGAGUGAGACCGACUUCUCAGCUGCCCUACUUCUGCCAAAUAUGAAGGUAUCAGACAUUCUGCUUCUCUAAUGUUUGUUGGGUGCAUCCUGGAGGGAGGGUGGGAAGAGGAAGGAAAAAUAUCUAUUGAAUUUGGGGCUUAGUUUCACUAUGGGUUAUGUGGCAAACUGAUUUCAGUAGGACCUAUCCAUUCAUACCUGUAUUAUUCUUAGGAUCAGGCAACAAAAUGAUUAAAAGUUUAAUGAUUAAAAGCUGAAGCUUUUUGGGCUCUGUGCUGACUGCUUGGAGCCUGGAACCUGUUUCAGAUUCUGUGUCUCCCUCUCUCUCUCUGCUCCUCCCCCACUCAUGCUUUCUCUCUCUCCCUCUCUCUCUCUCUCUCUCUUUCUCUCUCUCAAAAAUAAAUAAACAUUAAGUUUUUUUUAAAGCUGAAGCUGUGGUGUUUAGAAAGACUAGAUUCCUGGUCCUUGGCUUUGCCACUGUACUAAUUUGUGACUUUGGGAAAUUACGUAAAAUUUCCAAGAUUUAGUUAUUCUAACAUGACAGUACCCACAUCACGUUUUUUGUGAACACUUAAUGUGGUAGUGCUUACUUCAGUGGCUGGCAUAUAGACAGGGUGCAGUGAAUAUUCUCUAUGAGAAAAAGGAGGAGAGGAAGUGAGUAAGAAGUUCAAGGAUAAUAUGAUAUAGUUGAAAGAAGGUGGGAUUAGGUAUUUAAAUCCUGUAUUCAUUUCCUACUAGCUGUAUUAUGAUGGAUAACUUUGAGGGCCAUCAUUUUCCAAAUCUAGAAGAAAAAAGGGAUAUUCAUGCUUAUUUGUAGUUCUAAGGAUUAAGUGUGACAAUGUAUGCGUAGGUGUCCAGUUGCCUAGUGCUGUAUCUUUCUGUUAGUAGGAACUAAGAAAAUGCUAAUUUUGGUGGUGUGCUACUGAUGUUGAACAGAGCUUAGCUCUGAUUUAUACUAUUCCCAAAUGACAUUUUAUAGUAUGAAUCCACGUGUCCUGUGCUGUUCAACGUUGCCAUCAUACUCCCAAUUCCUAAUUCUCAGAGCAAAAUUUGAUGCUGGAGAGCAUUUCAUGGUAUAACAAUUGCUGUUAGAGUACCUCCCAUGUCCUCUUAUUCUUACCACUGCAAAGCACACCAGUCCAACAUCUAUCAGCACAUAGGGUUCUCUGCCUGGGGGUGGGGCUUUUUCUUGCCACUAGGCCCCACUUUGCCAAAGUGCAGAGGAAUUAACGGCCUCUUUCCCCAGUAUCCCCUAACCAAUGAGUGGUGGUGUUUUUCACUGGCUCCUAGACUCCAUUUUCCCUUAGUAAUAUGUGGCUAAUAUUAGCAUGUAGGUGGUAAUACACCCUAUAUUGUCCACUGUCCCAUCCUUAUAUCACUCACAUGUCAUCUUAUGCAAAACAUUACUUGCAUUUCAACCCUGGUCUCAAAAUUUGCUUCUGAAGAAACUCAAACUGGAUACAUGGCUACCCCAAUAAGACAGCCCAGUGAUGCUUUUGGAUAAUUAUUAUAUAAAGAUCUUUAGGAUUUUUUUCUGUAGGAAGCUGCUUACAACAGAACUAGUUCCAUCUGGUCUGAGGCUUAAUGAUAGGUUUGAAUAAAUAUGACUGGGGGCCUAUUGAAUCUUUUUGUAAAAUCAUACCUUUCUGAAUACCUGUCAGUGUGCUUGGGUUGCUAGGGACUAUGAGAAUCUUACUGACCUUCUUUAUCAGAAGGACAUUGUGGGAUCGGGAUAUGAGUGGGUGAAAUAGGAUCAUCACACUGAUUCCAGGGUUAAGGUUAGGGCUUAAGGUUGUUCUGGGGACGUCUGGCUUCAUGUGAGAUUUUGAGGGCCAUUGUAGUCCCAAAUGCACUUAGGCUUUAUAGCAUCCUUCCAAUUAAGGAUUCUCUUAAACUGGCUGCUCUGAUUUAAGGUGAUCUUUAUGUCUAUGAUCAGUGGAGGAACAGGUUGGCCCUAGGGAAGGUGGAGGCAAUAUGGCCAGAUGUCCAUUUCCUAUAAUCUUUCUAGAUUUAGCCAACUAGUAUGAUACAGUCCUGGCCUGAGGUCAUGAAUGGGCUUUUCAGGGUUCAUAACCAGCCUGAUAUUUUAUACAAAGGUUUGUAUUUAUGUGCAUUUUUUUCUGGGGAAGAAGUCAUGAGCUUUUGUAUUUUAAUAGGGGUCAUCAGCAUAUUAAAAACCACCUCAGCUUGAUGUCUAAUUUUAGGAUUAUUUGAAGGAAUUUUUUUUUAGCACUGAUCUUAUCAAUUGUAAUAAUAAUGUUUCUUGGGGGUUCCAGGAGGGCUCAGACCUGGAGCUUUGGGACCCAGAACUCAAUGGUUGCCUCAUAAGGCAUCAUCUCUUUUACAUGUCCAUGUUUGCUCAAAUGUCCUGCAGGUUCCUGCAGGUCUCUCACCUAUUGGUGGCAGAGAAGCCCCAGGGCACAAAAUGAGACCUACAGGAUACAGCUGAGACAAAGUGCUAUAGCAUUCUACCUACAUGCAGCUGUUUGCAGGAGCAAUCAUUGGGGUGUAGGGGUGAACAGAGAGGGUAUGCUGCAGGGCAUGGAAGUUGUCUGGUAGACCUUUUCCACGCGAGUACCCCCCUCAUUGAGGCCAUAUUCAUCUUAACAUUGUUGUUGGCACAUAUGAAUCAUAAGAAAGAAGAAAUGUGGUGGAGAUUUGAACUUUGUAUCAGGAAAGGUACAUUCCCACAAACUAUCUUAUUUGAUUCUCAAAUCGUCUUCUGGGUUAUGUAGAGUAUAUAGUGGAAUUCCUUUUUUUUUUUUUUUUUUUUUUUUACAAACAAGUAAGUUAUGGCUCACAGGGGCUAGAUGAGGAUUGACAGGGGUCCCAUAGUUAAUACAUCAUAGAACCUAUUGCUUCUUUUCUUCGAAGUUUUCUAUGACAUCAUUCUGCUCUCUGGCAACACAUCAUUGGCAAAGAAAAAUAGUUCAGAGAAAGAUAUGUUGAUGGGUGUUCCAUAGUUUCACCAUCUUAUUGGGAGAACACACAUUUAUGACCUGCCAAAUGUUAAACAUUAGGAAUUUUGCUUGCAACUGGUUUGAUCUCCAGCAUGGAUAGAGGUGGCAGCAGAGAGAGGAUGCUUUGCUUCCCUGUUUCAACUCUACACAGCAUCCAGGACCAUGUCUUAUACCUAGUAAGUAGGUCUUUGUUAAUCCAAACAAAACUAUUUAUGGCUUUACUGUUACUAUUCCCUUAUUCCCUUUCCCCAGGAUGCCCUUCCUCCUUCUCUCUCUGUUCACUUGCUAACUUUUAUUUUUAAAGCUUCAGCUCAUGUGUCAUCUCUUCUGGAAAGCCCUUCCUGAGCCCAUACUCCCAGUGUAUAUUAGACGUCCCCUUCAAAAUUGCUACAACACCCUGUGUGCAUCAAGCUUGCCACACUGAUUCAGAUAAUUAUCUGUUCAUUUGUCUGCUGCCUCCAUUAGACUGUCAAUGCCUCAUCAGUGUGCUCAGCUUCUGGGGCAUGGAAUGGUACACAGGUGACCCCAGUGAGUAUUUUCUGAAUAAAUGAAUAAAUGUAUGAAUGAACCAAGCAAGGCUUUGUUAGCAGUGAUGUUGGUCCUAUCUUUUCAUAAUUUGUGGUCUAAUUUUACCUUUUCUCUUCCAAUUCCAUUAACCUCCCAGCUCUUGUCUCUGAUGAGGAUGCUGGGUAAAUGCUCGGUGAACUUUUAAACUGCAAUACAUUUCUUCCUUGCAUCCUGGGUCUUGUAUCCUUGUCUUUCAUCUGUUUAUUCCGAUCUUGUUUGAACAUUAAGCUGCUUCCACUGCCCCUAUCUUAUCACCCUCACUCUCCCUGUUGGGAGACUGCUAUUUAAUAAAAUAAGAGCCUCUUGGAAUCUUUGACUUAUUAAAGAGGACUUCUAAAGGACAAGACAGAAUUGGUUCUGCAAGCUGCUACUACCAUGGCCUUCUUUUUCUCUUGGUUUCUCCCUGACAGCUUGCCAUUUGUGCAUCCUUGGUGCAACUGGGGUGUUGGUGUCCAAAAGAGGACUAUGUACUGAAGUCACUCACAUUCAAUUAUUAGGGAAGUUCAAAUGACCAUUCUUUUGAUAGUAAUUGUGUUUUAAAAGAAAACAAGAGUGAACGUUAAAAACAAAAACAAAAAAUCCACACCAGAAUUUUAGGUAAGCAUCAGUUGGGAAGAUACUUUGGGGUGAGUAGGCCAUUAUUAGUAAAGUUCAACUUGCUCCACAGAAGGGACUGAGAGUCCUGCCUGGUAUGCCUGAGGACAGCCUUGCAUGGCAUGGAGAUUAGACUGGAGGUAGUACAGGACAUGUGGAUUCAGAGGUUGGAGGACAAGUCUAAGUUCUACCUGUGUACCACCGUGUGACCUUAAAUAGUUCAUGUGACCUUUCUGAGCUUCAGUGUCCUCCUCUGUAAAAUGAGGACUGCAAUACGUAUCUAUAUAGUCACUCUUGUGAGUAGCAAGUGAGAUAACAGAUGUAAAGCCUUUAGGAGUCAAUGAAGUGUAAUGGUAGAGUGUGAGGGUUACACGGUCUGAUUGGUUGGGUUCAGACUCUGGGCCUGACAUUAACUAAGUGUCAAUGACCUUGUCCACAUUUCUAACCUCUGUUUUCCUCAAUUUCUCUCUCCAUAUCAUAAGGGUCAUAUAGAACCCCUUGUAGGUGGUUAAAGAUGAGAUGAAAUAAUUUGUUUCAUGCAUGAGUGGCACAUAGCACUCAGUUGGUGAGGCUCUCAUCAUCAAAGCUACAACAGACAAAUGUAAGGCCCUGUGUCACCAGGGCCAGUGUAAACCUUUUCCUUGGCCUUAGCUGAAGGAUUGAGACUUGCUUUAUUUUUAUUUAUGAGUGGACCUAUUAAACCCAGCUCCAGUUUAUUUUCUCCCCCUUACCUCUGUGUAUGCCCCUUUUUCUAAUCCAGAUGCAGAACUUUGCCUUACUGAUUUCCACGAGAAAUUCCACACUCACUCUCCCUCUUCUAUUUUCCCUUUAUCCCCUCCCUCUCCUUGUCCCUCCAUUUUCCUCUCUUCUUUUCUACUCCUACCCUUCCUCUCCCCUUUUAUCUCUCCCUCUUUCUGCACGCCCCCCCCCCCCACUUCCACCACCCCUGUCCUUCCCUGGGGCUCCCACAUUACCCUUUGCUGUAAGUGGGCUCAUGAAAAUAUCUUUGUGUUUUAACAAGGGCAUGUCUCUCCCUAAGGAAAAAAAGAUCAUACUGCUGCUAAGACAGUAACGUUUUCUUCUCAUUAUAAAAUAGUAGGGCUGCAUGUGCCCUUAGAGAUCAAGUAACUCAGAGGUUCUCAGACACGGCCAGUUGGUCAUGAAACCCUGGGCAGCAUUUAAAAAGCUGGGCCCUGCCCCAGUGAUGCUGGAUCAGUAGGUCAGAAUUGGGACGUGGUUUUUGUGUGUGGUGUCCCAGAAUAUAUUUAUUUUAAUUCAGGAGGGCUUGGAUUUCAGUCCUCAUUCCACUGUUUGCUAACAGAAUUAUCUUGGGUGAGGUACUAAAACUUCCAGAGCCUUGGGAAUAUCUCUUAGAUAUGGAAAAUAAUUCCUUCCUCAAAUAACAAGUAGUAAGCUGCAGACUGGUCACAUAGUAGGCGUUAACAAUUGUUUCUUUUCUUCCUUCCUUGGGUGAACAGUAUAGAAUCCUGAUUACCUCUACACACACAGGGUGAGGAUGGAAGAAAGUGUCCUUGUCGUACAUCUUGGAAAGGGAGAAGGGCUAGCUAGCCUCAUCAGAGCCACUAAGGAUCCCCACCCAGCUGUCUCCAAGAAGUCCCAGGAACAGGCAUUGAGUCAGGAAACAAAAAUAAACAACACUUAUUGUGAAUUUA